rnacentral:tRNA from 1 species
GGGGACGUAGCCCAAUAGGUAGAGGCAGUAGACUUAAAAUCUGCAAAGUGUGGGUUCGACUCCCACCGUCCCUACCA